AGAUUAGGGGGCGGAGCCACCCUGCAGUAGAGAGGUGCGGCGGAAAGAGGAAGUCCAACAGCCUUCUCUGGAGCUUGGAGUGCGGCUCACAGCCGCGAGCGUAACCUCUGACGGUCGUAGAGUGCCUGCAUCGGCUGCAUUCAGCCUCUUAGGUGAACACGACCAUUCCCUGAAGUCAGCUUUCUGGAAAGUUCCUCUGAGGAAGAAGUGAAGUAUUAAUCCACCCAAGCUCCCCAACCCCCAGCCACCAAGGACCUGCCCUGGUGUCAAAUGGCCAAAGAGUCUGCUUCUCCCAAGGUUGUCAGGAAGGGUCUGUCUGAAGGAUCAACACUGAAGCUGAGACCCCAUCCCAAAUUCCUUCCACAUGAUAAUAAUCUAUUUGCAAGCUUGGCCCCCACAGGAGGUUGAAACAGAAUAGGGUCCUGGAAAAAAAAUCGCAGUGUUUGGAAUAAGCGAAGCCCAGGUUCUACUCCCAGCCCUGUUCCUUCUCAACUUCCUGCCGAAUGGAAACCACCACCACCAGAGAGCAGUAGCGAGAACCGUGUGAGACCAGGCAUGUGAGACCUGCUUGCCCAGAGUUCUCGCCCCAGAGACUUCGAGAGAAAGAAGUCUCAUCCUGAGCCCCUGCCCCCUGGCCUGCUUCCACUGCCUGUGGCCUGGAGGACCAUCCCCCUCCUCAUAUCUCAUCUUGACAGUCUGUGCCUGUCACCAGCCUCAUCUCCUCCUCACCCUCCACCGUACCCUGCUGUCUGAAAGGUCCUUCCCCCUCACCACCCCAGUUAAGGGCAGUGGGUCUAGGGAAAUCCCUGGCAGUCCAGUGAUUAAACUAGGUACUCUUACUGUGGUGGCCCAGUUUCAAUCCUUGGUCAGGGAACUAAGA
ensembl:lncRNA